GAGUAGGUCUGUGAGACGGUUAGGUUUAGGGUCAGUUUUAGGUAUAUAGGUAAAAGCGAGUUUCACCCUCAUUAAUUCGACCCUCAUUAGCAUAUGCGAUCUGAUUGGCCGAAGCUUACCUGGCCGUAUCUUUUGAAGCGGAGGUCCGACGUGCACAUAAGUGGUAUCGUUGGAUUCAGAAAUCUGUCUUCUUUCAGGUAGCGUGGAUGUCUGGAAGACAGGUAUAUAGAUAAAAGCGAGUUUCACCCUCAUUGGUUCCACCUUCAUUAGCAUAUGCGAUCUGAUUGGCCAAAGCUUACCUGGCCGUAUCUUUUGAAGCGGAGGUCCGACGUGCACAUAACUGGUAUCGUUGGAUUCAGAAAGCUGUCUUCUUUCAGGUAGCGUGGAUGUCUGGAAGACAGGAUGUUGCUAGGGUAAAUUUUAGGUCGGGUUAUCCUGAGUAGGUCUGUGAGACGGUUAGGUUUAGGGUCAGUUUUAGGUCGGGUUAUCCUGAGUAGGCCUGUGAGACGGUUAGGUUUAGGGUCAGUUUUAGGUCGGGUUAUCCUGAGUAGGUCUGUGAGACGGUUAGGUUUAGGGUCAGUUUUAGGUCGGGUUAUCCUGAGUAGGUCUGUGAGACGGUUAGGUUUAGGGUCAGUUUUAGGUAUAUAGGUAAAAGCGAGUUUCACCCUCAUUAAUUCGACCCUCAUUAGCAUAUGCGAUCUGAUUGGCCGAAGCUUACCUGGCCGUAUCUUUUGAAGCGGAGGUCCGACGUGCACAUAAGUGGUAUCGUUGGAUUCAGAAAUCUGUCUUCUUUCAGGUAGCGUGGAUGUCUGGAAGACAGGUAUAUAGAUAAAAGCGAGUUUCACCCUCAUUGGUUCCACCUUCAUUAGCAUAUGCGAUCUGAUUGGCCAAAGCUUACCUGGCCGUAUCUUUUGAAGCGGAGGUCCGACGUGCACAUAACUGGUAUCGUUGGAUUCAGAAAGCUGUCUUCUUUCAGGUAGCGUGGAUGUCUGGAAGACAGGAUGUUGCUAGGGUAAAUUUUAGGUCGGGUUAUCCUGAGUAGGUCUGUGAGACGGUUAGGUUUAGGGUCAGUUUUAGGUAUAUAGGUAAAAGCGAGUUUCACCCUCAUUAAUUCGACCCUCAUUAGCAUAUGCGAUCUGAUUGGCCGAAGCUUACCUGGCCGUAUCUUUUGAAGCGGAGGUCCGACGUGCACAUAAGUGGUAUCGUUGGAUUCAGAAAUCUGUCUUCUUUCAGGUAGCGUGGAUGUCUGGAAGACAGGUAUAUAGAUAAAAGCGAGUUUCACCCUCAUUGGUUCCACCUUCAUUAGCAUAUGCGAUCUGAUUGGCCAAAGCUUACCUGGCCGUAUCUUUUGAAGCGGAGGUCCGACGUGCACAUAACUGGUAUCGUUGGAUUCAGAAAGCUGUCUUCUUUCAGGUAGCGUGGAUGUCUGGAAGACAGGAUGUUGCUAGGGUAAAUUUUAGGUCGGGUUAUCCUGAGUAGGUCUGUGAGACGGUUAGGUUUAGGGUCAGUUUUAGGUCGGGUUAUCCUGAGUAGGCCUGUGAGACGGUUAGGUUUAGGGUCAGUUUUAGGUCGGGUUAUCCUGAGUAGGCCUGUGAGACGGUUAGGUUUAGGGUCAGUUUUAGGUCGGGUUAUCCUGAGUAGGCCUGUGAGACGGGUUGUUUGAUUGACCGCCGCAAUCUGUUUGUUUGUUUGGUUGUCUAAAAUGAGCUUAAAACGUUCUGUUCUUAGUCACUGCCCAGAUUGGCUUUGUUCUGUUGAGUAGUUAAAUAUUGUAUUAAAUUGGAUGCUAAUAAAGUACUAUAAAUCGAAUCCAUCUUGAAAAUUCCACUCUAAGUGGCCAAAAGGUCAAAGGUCAAGACUGGCGGAUAUGGCCUGGUUGGCAUCUUGCAAUAAUAAAACGUACGAAUAACUACUGUAAAUCAAAUGAAGUCUAAAAAUCGAAAGAUAGGCCUAAGACGUUCCCAAAAGGUCGAAGGUCGUGACUGGCGGAUGCAAAGAAUAAAAGGUAGCAAAAAGGUAAUACAAGUCUUUAUAAAAACAGUUUUCCAGCCAGUUUGUGUGUGUGUGUUUGUGAAAGAGAGAGAGAGAGAUAGAGAGAGUGUGUGUGUGUGUGUGUGUGUGAAAGAGAGAGAGAGAGAGAGAGAGAGAGAGAGAGAGUGUGUGUGUUAUUUUCUGCUAAAAUAUUGGAAUUCUUAGCAGUUUCUUACACAUGGCUAUUCACAGUUUUAUCCAGGAGAGGGCGACGAGAAGCCAAGGGUAAUAUCCUGGAAUAGAUAGAUAGAUAGAUGAUAGAUAGUUAGUUAGAGAAUAAAGAAAAAAAAUAGAUAGAAAAUAGAUAGAAAAAAUACAUCCAAAUGAAAUAACCUGUGAAAUCAAUUGUCUUUUUAGCAAAAAGGAAAUGCAAGUCUUUAUAAAAACAGUUUUCCAGCCAGUUUGUGUGUGUGAGUGUGUGUGUGUUUGUGAAAGAGAGAGAGAGUGUAUCAUUACAAUUCAGAAUUGAACAAUUUAAGAUAAAACAGCAGAUAGGCUUGAGCAAUUUAGACUAUUGAACAUGUAAAGGAAGAACAUAUUGUUCCUCUCAAAGGUUGUGUAAAGUGUUGGGUGCUGGUAUGGAUGGAUGGAUGGAUGGAUGGAUGGAUGGAUGGAUAGAGAUUAGUUUUACGAUAUUUCUGUGCAGAGUUUGAUGAAGUUUUGUGUUAAUGAAGGUUUAUGGAGCAUAGGGACUAGCAUGUUUAAAGUUGGUGGGGUGAGGAGUUAAUUGGGUUAAGGGUUAGUGAGGCUAGGGCUAGCAGCUCUGAGGUUUGGGUUAGGGGCUAGUCUGGGGGUUAACUGCGAGUAGGUUAAGGGUUAGUGAGGCUAGGGUUAGCAGCUCUGAGGUUUGGGUUAGGGGCUAGUCUGGGGUUAACUGCGAGUAGGUAUAUAGGUAAAAGCGAGUUUCACCCUCAUUAAUUCGACCCUCAUUAGCAUAUGCGAUCUGAUUGGCCGAAGCUUACCUGGCCGUAUCUUUUGAAGCGGAGGUCCGACGUGCACAUAAGUGGUAUCGUUGGAUUCAGAAAUCUGUCUUCUUUCAGGUAGCGUGGAUGUCUGGAAGACAGGUAUAUAGAUAAAAGCGAGUUUCACCCUCAUUGGUUCCACCUUCAUUAGCAUAUGCGAUCUGAUUGGCCAAAGCUUACCUGGCCGUAUCUUUUGAAGCGGAGGUCCGACGUGCACAUAACUGGUAUCGUUGGAUUCAGAAAGCUGUCUUCUUUCAGGUAGCGUGGAUGUCUGGAAGACAGGAUGUUGCUAGGGUAAAUUUUAGGUCGGGUUAUCCUGAGUAGGUCUGUGAGACGGUUAGGUUUAGGGUCAGUUUUAGGUCGGGUUAUCCUGAGUAGGCCUGUGAGACGGUUAGGUUUAGGGUCAGUUUUAGGUCGGGUUAUCCUGAGUAGGUCUGUGAGACGGUUAGGUUUAGGGUCAGUUUUAGGUCGGGUUAUCCUGAGUAGGCCUGUGAGACGGGUUGUUUGAUUGACCGCCGCAAUCUGUUUGUUUGUUUGGUUGUCUAAAAUGAGCUUAAAACGUUCUGUUCUUAGUCACUGCCCAGAUUGGCUUUGUUCUGUUGAGUAGUUAAAUAUUGUAUUAAAUUGGAUGCUAAUAAAGUACUAUAAAUCGAAUCCAUCUUGAAAAUUCCACUCUAAGUGGCCAAAAGGUCAAAGGUCAAGACUGGCG